rnacentral:rRNA from 1 species
GUAGUCUCGCACAGAUGCAUAUCAAUAAGCGGAGGAAAAGAAACUAACAAGGAUUCCCUCAGUAACGGCGAGUGAAGCGGGAAGAGCUCAAAUUUGAAAUCUUGAAAGGUCACCUUUCACGAAUUGUAGUUUAAAGAAGUGUUUUCUGUUACGAUCGUAAUAUAAGUUCUUUGGAAUAGGACAUCACAGAGGGUGAGAAUCCCGUCUAUGAUUGCGAUUUGUAGCUUUGUGAUACACUUUCAAAGAGUCGGGUUGUUUGGGAAUGCAGCCCAAAACGGGAGGUAAAUUUCUUCUAAGGCUAAAUAUUGGCGAGAGACCGAUAGCGAACAAGUACCGUGAGGGAAAGAUGAAAAGAACUUUGAAAAGAGAGUUAAAUAGUACGUGAAAUUGUCAAAAGGGAAGCGUUUAACACCAGUGUUGUUUUCUGAAAAUCAACCUCUGUUAGCUUUAUGCAUGUUUGUUUAGACCUAAUCAGCUAUCUUGCAUGUUCUAUUGUUUGCAGUGGUGCACUUUUCAGUUUACAGGUCAACAUCAGUUUUUUUUACCGUAAAAAAGUUAAAGAAAGGUAGCUCAUGGCUCCGGUCGUGAGUGUUAUAGUCUUUUUCCUAUGCGGUAGGAGAGACUGAGGUCUGCAGUGUAGGCUAUUUGGCUAGAUACUCAGGUGCUAUGUGAUACCAUUUCAUAAACGACUUGUUGAUUAUGUUUUGUCUAUUGCAUACUCGCUUGUACUAUCAUACCUACGCUUAGGAUGUUGAGUCGUAGAGCACGCAG